GACGAACCGAGCGAACGUUAUUCGGAAUCACUGGGCUUAAAGGGUGCGUAGGCGGGCUGUCAAGUCUGGGGUGAAAUCCGGCAGCUUAACUGUCGAACUGCCUCAGAUACUGAUGGCCUCGAGGGAGGUAGGGGCAUGCGGAACUGUAGGUGGAGCGGUGAAAUGCGUUGAUAUCGCUUGGAACGCCAACGGUGAAAACAGCUCGCUGGGGGUGUGCUGACGCUGAGACACGAAAGCCAGGGGAGCGAACGGG
rnacentral:rRNA from 1 species